GCGGUCUGGUACGACUGCGACGACGAUGCGAGCCUUCGAUCCGUGGAACGCUGUCCGGGCGGCGAAACCUUUCUUGCAAGCUGCGUCAAGCCGGCAGAGACAGAGAGUUGCGGGUAGCCGAAAUGCAUCCCAGCGCAGUUGGUAGUUGGCUAUCUGGUUAUUUGGUAUUUGGUUAUUUUGGUUAUUUGGUUGUUUGGUUAUUUGGUUGUUUUGUUAUUUGGUUGUUUGGUUAUUGAGGGCAGAUGACGGAGUACUCCAUGCAGCGACGGAUGCUGUCUGGGUUCUGGGCAGCAACGUGCCGGCGACAAUGCGCACCACCGCAGGUACGGUAAAGAAUACUAGGAAUACUACUCCAGAGGAAUACUAGAUGUAACUCCGUAUUCUCAGACCUCGCCUAAUUUCCUUUUCUCCGUAUUAGAAGUUCAAUUCUUCAAAAAUUACUAUGAGU
rnacentral:sRNA from 1 species